CCCUUAGAUGUUCUGGGCCGCACGCGCGCUACACUGAUACAAUCAACAAGUGCCUUUUGCCGACGGGUGAAGAGGACUCUUGUGAGUUUGUAUCGUGAUGGGAACAAACGAUUGCAAUUAUUCGUUUCGAACGAGGAAUUCCUAGUAAGCGCGAGUCAUCAGCUUGUGCUGAUUACGUCCCUGCCCUUUGUACACACCGCCCGUCGCUCCUACCGAUUGGGUGAGCCGAUGAAACUCUCGGAUGUAGGCUAUUCAUAGCCCGCAGAAGAGAUUUGAAUCGUAGCGCUUAGAGGAAGGAGAAGUCGUAACA
rnacentral:rRNA from 1 species